rnacentral:rRNA from 1 species
GGAGCUUGCGGCUUAAUUUGACUCAACACGGGAAAACUCACCCGGACCGGACACUAUGAGGAUAGACAGAUUGAUAGCUCUUUCUUGAUUUGGUGGAUAGUGGUGCAUGGCCGUUCUUAGUUCGUGGUAUGAAUUGUCUGGUUAAUUCCGAUAACGAACGAGAUUCUAACCUGCUAAAUAGGCUACGUGUAAUUCUGUGUAGAUUUUCUGUGAAUUAACUUCUGUUAGUUUGCGGAGGUCUGUACGAGCAUGUGGAACUUCUUAGAGGGAUUGGUGAAUAUCCAAGUCACAAGAGAGAGAGCAAUAACAGGUCUGUGAUGCCCUUAGAUGUUCGGGGCCGCACGCGUGCUACACUGACAGUGGUAGAGAGUUUGGUAUCCUCAGGCGAAAGCUGGGGGCAAACUUUUCAAUUACUGUCGUGCCUGGGAUCGGGGUUUGUAACUAUCCCCCGUGAACCAGGAAUUCCUAGUAAGCACAAUUCAUCAGAU